CCGCCUCUCGCCAGCCCAGCCCCGCCUUCAGUCUAUUUCUCCACACCCAGGUUCUGCCUUCUGUGCCACUAAGCUCCGCCUUCAGCCUAAUGGCUUCAUACCGAGGUCCUGCCUCCCAGCAUGUCUGUGGACUUGCUGUAGACUCCACACCCUUCAGUAUGGCAACACAACUACUUAAUCCUUAGAGGAUGUGCAGCCAAUCAAGGUGACUAGAGGCCUGCCAGAAGAGUUUACUAAAAGAUUUCAUUUCUUGGGUAUUCAGAAACCCUUGGAACCUUGAAACCCUUGGACAGACGUUACAGACAUGAGCUGCUGUGUGGGUGCUGGGAAAUGAACUCAGGUCUUCUGGAAGAACAGCCUGGCUUCCUGACUCAUCAUUCUAGCCCCUGGAUUACUUUUCAAGACAUUUCUCAUCUGUGCCUUAAAGAAUACUAGAAUUGUAUCUUAUAAGUAUACCUUAAAGGGCAUUGUUUCCUGGAAGAAAGGUUUAUUGCAUACCAAAAUCAAUAGUCUAAAAGUAAUUAAAAUGUUUAUAAUGUAUGCAAAAGAGGCAAAUGUGUAUGAAAGUUUUCAUAUGCUUCGUCAUAGUAUUCAAGAAAUUCUGGAGAAUUUCAGAUUUUCAAGAUUGCGGACAAGUAAUCUUUUCGGUUUUCUAAUUUUUGUUUUCUUUCAGGUUUUUGGAAGGUUUACUUUCUAUUACUGCC
ensembl:lncRNA